rnacentral:rRNA from 1 species
AGCGAACGCUGGCGGCAGGCCUAACACAUGCAAGUCGAACGAACCCUUCGGGGUUAGUGGCGGACGGGUGAGUAACACGUGGGAACGUGCCUUUAGGUUCGGAAUAACUCAGGGAAACUUGUGCUAAUACCGAAUGUGCCCUUCUGGGGAAAGAUUUAUCGCCUUUAGAGCGGCCCGCGUCUGAUUAGCUAGUUGGUUGGGGUAAUGGCUCACCAAGGCGACGAUCAGUAGCUGGUCUGAGAGGAUGAUCAGCCACAUUGGCACUGAGACACGGCCCAAACUCCUACGGGAGGCAGCAGUGGGGAAUAUUGCGCAAUGGGCGCAAGCCUGACGCAGCCAUGCCGCGUGAAUGAUGAAGGUCUUAGGAUUGUAAAAUUCUUUUAUCGGGGACGAUAAUGACGGUACCCGGAGAAGAAGCCCCGGCUAACUUCGUG